CUGGAUCCAUCUCUGUUCCAAUCUUCUUAGCUUUCUUGCUAGGGCUCUUCAAUGCGGUUCUUGUGAUUUCUAGGUUGUGAAGUGUCGUUGCUGCAGGAGAAUCAAACAUAGCAGACAUGGCUUGCCCAAAAACUUGCGGAUAUAGCUGAAUCAGGAAGCAGUGGAUUGCCCGAUUCCAGGAGUAUUUGGGAUCUUGCCUAUGAUGUGGAGGACAUCAUGGCCGCGUACUUCCCUAAGCUAUCAUCACAUGGAAGCAACAUCCGGAAGGGGCCUCUUGGAUUUAUGUUUCUCAACAGCCAAAUCUAAAUGAGCUCUUGAACGAUAUAGCAAGACAAAUUGGCUUGACGGAGGACUGCAACCGCAAUUCCAUGGGUAAUUUAUUCCAAUUUUUAAGCCAAAAAAGGUAAGGGUAAGGAGAUCAUUGGGGGCGAAUUUAGUGGGGCUUGAGCUCAAGUUUAGAAGUGCAUAGAGACGUUCCUAAUAAAAAGGUUCGUGUUAGUAGUUUUGUUGAGGGCAUGUUGUGAGGAGAUUUUUAUUUUGUUAAAUCCAUUAGUGCUCUUGUAUUCAUUUUGUAUAGGCCAUAGUACUAAGAUGAUGUAAACUUAUAUUAUGGCUUCCACUGAGGAUAUCAAAAGUUAGAAGUUGUGAUGUUGAGUUAUAUUGUUUCAUAUCAUUUUUGUGAUGACCUUAUUUCGGAUGUCCUAUGCUAGCGAGAUUAUCUGGAAGAGGGCUGCUACAACACACAUCAUAAUGCACAAGUUCUAAAAUAUCAUAUUUUCUUCUAAAAGAGCCACUAAAAGAAACCCUAUGUUGCUUACCAUAUAAACAAUGAUCACAUCGGUUUAGAGACAUACCAUUGGAUAAGGGAAUAUCUGUCUUCUUACCUAGAACUUGCAACCCUUUUUCACUCACGUGACUGAGCCUCUUGUUCCAUAGAUCAGGAGAAGAAUCUUCAACUACAUUUAGCUCACUUUUACAAGCUUUUGCAUAAGUCUUCUAGAGCAUGCAACAAGCUUUUUCUCUAACAAUAAUCAAAGUCCCUUUUGACAAUUUCCAUUUUAGAUCACUAAAACUGUUGUAAUGACCCAGUCUAUCAAGAGCCAAAAUUGAAAUUAGAUUGAGGCACA